rnacentral:rRNA from 1 species
ACGGAAGGCAGCAGUGGGGAAUAUUGCACAAUGGGCGCAAGCCUGAUGCAGCAACGCCGCGUGAGGGAAGACGGUCUUCGGAUUGUAAACCUUUGUCUUUGGUGAAGAAGAAAGUGACGGUAGCCAAGGAGGAAGCCACGGCUAACUACGUGCCAGCAGCCGCGGUAAUACGUAGGUGGCAAGCGUUGUCCGGAUUUACUGGGUGUAAAGGGAGCGCAGGCGGGUUCGCAAGUCAGCGGUGAAAUACAUGGGCUUAACCCAUGGGCUGCCGUUGAAACUGCGGAUCUUGAGUGGAUCAGAGGCAAGCGGAAUUCCGAGUGUAGCGGUGAAAUGCGUAGAUAUUCGGAGGAACACCAGUGGCGAAGGCGGCUUGCUGGGGUCUAACUGACGCUGAGGCUCGAAAGUGUGGGGAGCAAACAGGAUUAGAUACCCUGGUA